AAAAUAAGAAUAAAACUAAAUUCCGAAAAAUCUGAAAUAGAGAGUAUAUUUCUUAACCAACCAAACUAAACGAACUAGCAUCCGUUAAAAAAGGAAAAUGACACUUUGAUUUCGUCCACUAUUGAGUCCUGUCUUGUUGACUAAAUCCAAAUUAUGCAAGUAUAAUUUAUUGAGAAAUAUUCAACAACAUGCUAUAAAAUUAUGUAAGAGCCACUUGGAGUUGUACUUAGGGAUGAUGGGAAGACUGAAUCUUAGAAAAGGUGCAGGAG
rnacentral:lncRNA from 1 species